rnacentral:rRNA from 1 species
UAGGGAAUAUUGCAAAAUGGGCGAAAGCCCGAUGCAGCAACGCCGCGUGGGCGAUGAAGGCCUUCGGGUCGUAAAGCCCUUUUUGAGGGGAUGAGGAAGGACAGUACCCUCAGAAUAAGCCUCGUCUAACUACGUGCCAGCAGCCGCGGUAAAACGUAGGAGGCGAGCGUUAUCCGGAUUUACUGGGCGUAAAGCGCGUGCAGGCGGAUUGGAGAGUUGGAUGUGAAAGCUCCCGGCUUAACUGGGAGAGGUCGUUCAAUACUUCCAGUCUUGAGUGCAGUAGAGGGAAGUGGAAUUCCGGGUGUAGUGGUGAAAUGCGUAGAUAUCCGGAGGAACACCAGUGGCGAAAGCGGCUUCCUGGACUGUAACUGACGCUCAGACGCGAAAGCUAGGGUAGCAAACG